rnacentral:rRNA from 1 species
AUUGAACGCUGGCGGCAGGCCUAACACAUGCAAGUCGAGCGGAUGAAGGGAGCUUGCUCCUGGAUUCAGCGGCGGACGGGUGAGUAAUGCCUAGGAAUCUGCCUGGUAGUGGGGGAUAACGUCCGGAAACGGGCGCUAAUACCGCGUACGUCCUGAGGGAGAAAGUGGGGGAUCUUCGGAACUCACGCUAUCAGAUGAGCCUAGGUCGGAUUAGCUAGUUGGUGGGGUAAAGGCCUACCAAGGCGACGAUCCGUAACUGGUCUGAGAGGAUGAUCAGUCACACUGGAACUGAGACACGGUCCAGACUCCUACGGGAGGCAGCAGUGGGGAAUAUUGGACAAUGGGCGAAAGCCUGAUCCAGCCAUGCCGCGUGUGUGAAGAAGGUCUUCGGAUUGUAAAGCACUUUAAGUUGGGAGGAAGGGCAGUAAGUUAAUACCUUGCUGUUUUGACGUUACCAACAGAAUAAGCACCGGCUAACUUCGUG